CUGGCACCUCUGACAUUUAUUUCUAUAAUUCAUUGCUUGUUUUCAUUUUUUUUUUCAUUUUUGCUUGUGCCUCUAAGUGCCUUUUUCUAACAUGGCGGCAGCGAGCAGGCAUCAGCCACACCGGAGCGCGGCCAUCCACGGUGCUAUCAUCUCUCCUCCUCGGCCCAAUCGAGAUAGCUCGAGUUGCACGCUGGGAAGAUUUUAAGCGGGAGCGGGAGGCUCGGAGCCGGCGGGAGUGGUUAGCGCGCUGUCGUCCUGUCGUUGUUGUCGUUCUGAGACGGCCAUUAUAUUUGACUUGUUUGGAUACCAUCCGAUCACCAUUGUGUGCUGCCACCACUUGUAGCCUGCAGUAGUUAUUACCGCUUCUACUGGGAACUUGCGCCAUCCGCUGCACCCUCAUGCCUUUGUGCAGCAGAGACCCUUUCGGUGUGUUGCGCGGUCGCUGCAACGAGCCGGGUUGUGAGUGCAAGCGAUACACCAUUCUGCGCCUGUCGGAAAGUGACAACCUGGUGAGGUGUGACUAUUGUGACCACGUCCCAAAUGCACACGGAAAAAUAUGUGAUCUCGAAACGAAAAAUGCAGCCGAGGCAAAGGUGCAAUGCAAUGUGCCAGGCACCGCUGUUCGAGGCCUCAGUGUCACAUGAAACUGUGGAAGCUUGCACAUCUAGUCUCCUCAGUGCAAUAUGAGAGGACUGUCCCAGUUGGUGCCUCCAUAGAAAAUGAAUCGGCCUGAAUGCCUGUGCAAGAAUCACAACCUGGCUGCUCUAAAGACUCCGCACCGUAGUCCCAUGUGCAAGAGCCCCCACUUGACAGCCCAGUGGUUGCCAUGGACAAAGAGAUCCGCGAUACUGAAUGCGGCCAAGCAGUACAAGUUUUUACAUGGACAGUUAACACGAAGUUAUUGACGACAUGCAUGGCUGAAACACGGUGAUAUGAUUUUAAAAAUUCCUGUGUUAUGAUGCAAGUGAUAGUAUUCUGUUGAAUUUUCAGAUCUAGUCAUGUGCCAGCAAGGCCUGCUGUACUUCUGGUGUAUUCUAUGUUGUAUUUUCAAAUAAAGAUGUUGCAUUCUGAAGUUAACCUUAUACUGCCUGUGGAACUGUCAAUUUAUACUCAGAUUAUUUAUACAAGCUAACGGCGCCUCCUCCUCAGGCGUUCAAAUUGUGUUUUGAACUGUAUUUUUGAGAACAUUACCGUUACAUAUUUGCUCAAAAGGUGCCGCACGGGGAGUUUCAUUUCGUCAGAAAUCCCAAGGGAUACAGUAUAGUAGUAUCAUGGUAGCCCUUCGUUGGCUGAAAUACAACGAUUUAAGUGAUUUAAAUGAAAGUAAACUUUUGACACCACAUUCAGUUGAGCGUUCCUUUUUUUUUCAGAGAAUUUCAUGUGGGCCCCGCUCUUUACAUGGUCCGACGAGCCCGGUGCGGCCUAGCAACGGGGAGGCGCCACCUUGGGUUUUGUUCCAGAAAGGCCAAAUCUCCGCAUGGUGCACCGAGUCGGCUGCCGCCAAACAACAGAGGUUCAGAGAGACACAGCGACACCCUUUGUUCCGAAAACCGCACGAGGUGGACACGUGAACUAUUUCGAAGCGCAAGCGCAUGUAAAGGCAGCGUCCGGAAAGGACUGGCCGAGGGGCUUCCUCCGCGAAGGCUCACAUUUCUCCGCGCCCGGUUGUAGACUGCUUAAUCCGGCCGCGGAAAGAAGCGCGCAAGAAAGAAGAGGCGCAAGCAGAAAGAAGCGCGAAAGAAGGAAGAGACGCACCUUUGUUGCUAGGCGACAACUGCCUUGGCGGAGCAUGCGCAGAGCAACGGGCUUUUAUGAAACAUACCGCAGAAAGAAGAGCCGCGUCCCCGUUGCUAGG